UACAGAGGUCCCAAGCGUUGUUCGGAUUCAUUGGGCGUAAAGCGCGUGUAGGCGGCUCGGUAAGUCCGCUCUGAAAGUCCAGGGCUCAACCCUGGGAUGCGGGUGGAUACUGCCGGGCUCGAGUCCGGAAGAGGCGAGUGGAAUUCCCGGUGUAGCGGUGAAAUGCGCAGAUAUCGGGAGGAACACCAAUGGCGAAGGCAGCUCGCUGGGACGUGACUGACGCUGAGACGCGAAAGCGUGGGGAGCAAACAGG
rnacentral:rRNA from 1 species